rnacentral:ncRNA from 1 species
UUUUCCUCAGGAUAGCGGGCGAGUUCUAUUGGAUAAAGCCAAUGAUUAUAGGCAUCAAGGGCGGAACGCCCUCGACCUAUUCUCAAACUUUAAAUAGGUAGGGUCCAGCGGAUGGAAGAGCACCGCACGUCACGUGGUGUUUAGUAUGCCUCCGGUGGCCCUUGAAAAUCCAGAGGACCAAGUGUCUCCC